rnacentral:rRNA from 1 species
AGAGUUUGAUCCUGGCUCAGGACGAACGCUGGCGGCGUGCUUAACACAUGCAAGUCGAGCGAUGAAGUUUCUUCGGAAAUGGAUUAGCGGCGAACGGGUGAGGAACACGUGAAGAAUCUGCCCUCCACUUUGGGAUAACACAGGGAAACCUGUGCUAAUACCGAAUAUUGAAACAUAAGUGGCAUCACUGAGUUUUGAAAGAAUUUCGGUGGAGGAUGACUUCGCGGCCUAUCAGCUAGUUGGUGAGGUAAUGGCUCACCAAGGCAACGACGGGUAGCCGGCCUGAGAGGGCGACCGGCCACACUGGGACUGAGACACGGCCCAGACUCCUACGGGAGGCAGCAGUGGGGAAUAUUGGGCAAUGGAGGAAACUCUGACCCAGCGACGCCGCGUGCGGGAUGAAGGCCUUCGGGUUGUAAACCGCUUUCAGUAGGGAAGAAGCGAAAGUGACGGUACCUACAAAAGAAGCACCGGCUAACUAUGUGCCAGCAGCCGCGGUAAUACAUAGGGUGCAAGCGUUGUCCGGAAUUAUUGGGCGUAAAGAGCUCGUAGGUUGUUUGUUACGUCGGAUGUGAAAACCUGAGGCUCAACCUCAGGCCUGCAUUCGAUACGGGCAAACUAGAGUUUGGUAGGGGAGACUGGAAUUCCUGGUGUAGCGGUGGAAUGCGCAGAUAUCAGGAGGAACACCAAUGGCGAAGGCAGGUCUCUGGGCCAAUACUGACACUGAGGAGCGAAAGUCUGGGGAGCGAACAGGAUUAGAUACCCUGGUAGUCCAGACCGUAAACGGUGGGCACUAGUUGUGGGGACCUUCCACGGUCUCUGCGACGCAGCUAACGCAUUAAG